rnacentral:tRNA from 1 species
UGACUGAGUGGUAAAGUGCUUGGCUUCUGAACAGGGGAAUCCCGGGUUCGAACCCUGG